AUACUACUCCCUCCGUCCGAAAAUACUUGUCAUCAAAAUGGAUAAAAGGAGAUGUAUUUAGAAUAUUUUCUAAAUACAUCUCCUUUUAUCCAUUUUGAUGACAAGUAUUUUCGGACGGAGGGAGUAGAAC
rnacentral:pre_miRNA from 1 species